AUUGAACGCUGGCGGCAUGCUUUACACAUGCAAGUCGAACGGCAGCGCGGGCUUCGGCCUGGCGGCGAGUGGCGAACGGGUGAGUAAUGCAUCGGAACGUGCCCAGUAGUGGGGGAUAGCCCGGCGAAAGCCGGAUUAAUACCGCAUACGACCUGAGGGUGAAAGCGGGGGACCGAAAGGCCUUGCGCUAUUGGAGCGGCCGAUGUGGGGUUAGCUAGUUGGUGGGGUAAAGGGUUACCAAGGCGACGAUCCGUAGCUGGUCUGAGAGGAGGACCGGCCACACUAGGGCGUGGACGCGGACCAGGGUACUGCGGGAGGGCGCAGAGGGGAAUGUUGGGCAAUAGGGGCAACCCUGAUCCAGCCAGGCCGCGUGCGAGAAGAAGGCCUUCGGGUUGUAAAGCGCUUUUGUUCGGGAAGAAAUCCUCUGGGCUAAUACCCCGGGGGGAUGACGGUACCGGAAGAAUAAGCACCGGCUAACUACGUG
rnacentral:rRNA from 1 species